AAAAUUUUUUCCAGGAAAGUACACACAUUACCGAUCGAUCAUCCAUGACGUUAUGGAUCAUUUGUGGUAUCAAUUCGGCGGUGCGUGGCGCUGUUAUAGUAGCGAAGCAUCGCGGGUGGCGGGCGGACGUGUAGCGGAUCGCGGAUCGAUUUCGAUCGAUGUCGCGUUUCAUCGGUAGAUCCACAGAAAGCUUAAUUCCGACAAUCGUGCGACGAGGACCCGCCGCGAUAUGCGUGGUCGUGGACGGUGGGCCAGUAGCCGACGGGACAGGAGUCGACUGUUGCCCGUCGAACAGUCAGUGAAGCGGGCGUAGUGGCUACGCAUUUCGGAGGGAGCAAACGGUGUAUCUCUCGCCGCGUGUGUCUCACAGCCACAGUUCGUAAAUGUUUAUGUGCAGUGAACUGAGUGUUUGUACGGCGACGAUCGUCCUGAGACGUGUGUGUUGACUCUUCGCCGGGCGAUGAAAUGAGUGAAAAUGACUGCCAUAUUCUGCCAUGGUCGUUUCCCGCCCGAUUUCUCCGUCCCGUGAAUCGAGAAGUUUGGCAUCGACGAGCCUCUCUGAUCUUUCUCGCAGCAAACUUCGUACGCGUACUUCUUCGCGUGACGUCAUCAAUGUCGCGAGUGGAUCUCUUUGUACGUACGUCCGUGUUUUUGUGAGUAAUCUACAGUGAAAUAACGUUCGGACGAGACAGCGAGAUCGCUCGGAGACGCGCGCGUUGUUUGUUGUUGUCGCGCGACGGCAUGGAGGUUAAGGUUAAUCAACCCGCGCGAAUCGCCACAAGCUCCAUCCGGCCAACGCAUCACGCAUCGCGCACUAGCUCGCGUGUUAUCAUUAUCAAUGAUUUCGAACGGCUUUUUACGCGCAAUUCCGAGUUUUCGUAUGCGAAACGUUCCAACGGAACAUCGAUCUACGCAUUCGUAUCUGGAUCAUAACCUCGCGCGGACGUGUAUCCUUUCGCUACGUGGUGAUGUCGUUUCGCCGGUGGUGUCGUCAAUAAAGUGUCGCGCGUUAUUUUGGUAAUUAGCGCGCGAUCAUAAUUAAUCUCCCGUUCGCGAGUGUUAUGGUGUUAAGUGUGCAUUAAUUGGAUCUGAGAGGAGGCGGAGGCCUGGGAGGCAUCGAGCAACGAGGGAACAACUCUGUGAUCAACUCCUGCGUUACAACUCCACUGCUGUUCAUCGUGAUGUCGAUGAGUGAAAAAUUAUUUUUGUUAUUUCUUGAAGCAUCUCUAAUUAGCAUUUAAUUUUAAAACGUUUUAAAAUUAAUUUUGCGUUAGUGAGGGAGUGGGGAAUAGCUUUAUAGAAUAAGAGUCACUACCGUGUCUCUUGAUUAAUACAAUAAGCAACAUUAAUUCUUUUUCAGAAUUUAGAUUUUUAAUUUUGAUUUAAAAAAUUUUUAAUUAUUCUCUUUAUUAGAGCUAUGUAUAAUAUAUAUCUUAUCACUUUUUUAAUGCUUAACAGUUAUAAUUUAUUUGUGCAAAGUUGAAAUCUAUGUACGAUAUAUCAAAAUGUUGCAGACAAAUUUAAUGUGAAAAAUAUGAAAGCAUCGGUGCGUCAUAAAACUAUAACAUCAUUAAAUCUAUACUGUUACUUCUUUUUUCUUAUGUAGUUGACAAAAUCUUUGAAUGACUUUAUACCUUCCGAUUUCCUUAUAUUUAGGAGCUUCAGCUUGGACUUUGGCAAACCAUCUCUGAAAAUUGCAAUAUUUACUCAAGUCAUGGUCCAUGAUCUGUAAGAAAAGAAAUAUUAUUUAAUUCAAUAUUAUUUUCGUUAUAAUAAUUUAUAAAAUAAUAUUUUUUACAUAUUUGUGUUUUUUACUUUAUAAUCUCUGUACAUUAUAUAUAAAAAAAGUUUUAUGAAUUAAAAAUUUUAUUUAAAUUUAACAUGCAGUGAUAUCAGGGAUGGAAAGAAAUGAGUUACAAGUAAAACAAUUACUAUUUUUAAAUAAUUUGUUAAUAACGUCAGAAUUUUCUACAACAAUAAUGGUAAUUUCAAGAUUGAAAUAUUUAUUCACUUUGGCAAUCAACUCGUUACCAUUAUGCGUUGCUAAUUGAAAAAUAGUAACUUGUAAUUAUAUUUGUUGCGUAACGUUAAAGUCAAGUGUUUCCAAUGCAUUAUCUUUGUUUGUCAUAACAAGUAAACUAACGAGUUAUUUUUUUCACUGAGUAACAUGUAAUGGUAACGAGUUAUUUUUUAAGUGACUAUUCCAACCUUGGUGUUAUCAUGAAUCGUAACAUGAUGACAAAUUUUAAUAUCAUUAUCAAAUUGUCCUUAUAAAAAGAUAAAAGUAACGGUGACUCGUUAGUUUUAAUGCGUUCUUCCCAUUUCUGACUAUUAUUACAUGUCUUUAAGUAAUUUUUUAAUUUCGUGAAACUUCUCUGUUAACAAUAAUUGUACAUAAUAAUAAUAACAUCAAUAUUUUUAAAGGAGAAAUAGCGCUGUUUUGUGUCUGAAUCUAUAGAAUAUAUUUCUUUCUCUCGUA